GACGAACGCUGGCGGCGUGCUUAACACAUGCAAGUCGAACGGAAAGGCACUGCUUUUGUGGGGUGCUCGAGUGGCGAACGGGUGAGUAACACGUGAGUAACCUGCCCUUGACUUUGGGAUAACUUCAGGAAACUGGGGCUAAUACCGGAUAGGAGCUCCUGCUGCAUGGAGGGGGUUGGAACGUUUCGGCGGUUGGGGAUGGACUCGCGGCUUAUCAGCUUGUUGGUGGGGUAGUGGCUUACCAAGGCUUUGACGGGUAGCCGGCCUGAGAGGGUGACCGGGCACAAGGGGACUGAGAUACGGCCCAGACUCCUACGGGGGGCAGCAGUGGGGAAUAUUGCACAAUGGGCGGAAGCCUGAUACAGCAACGCCGCGUGCGGGAUGACGGCCUUCGGGUUGUAAACCGCUUUCGCCUGUGACGAAGCUUGAGUGACGGUAAUGGGUAAAGAAGCACCGGCUAACUACGUG
rnacentral:rRNA from 1 species